AACUUACGUUUUAACACUCACAUGUUGUUGAUCUUGGGUUUUCCCUCGUUGGUAAACACCCCAUGAUCUCACAUUAAAAUAAAUAAAUAAAUAUAUAUAAGCUUAUUUUGUGGGGUGAAGGAACACUUCUGACUAGUUUCGAACUAAUAGCUGGAGAUAAAGAUUAAUAGGAUUUCUGCACAGAACAAAAUCCAAUAGUAGAGCUGAAAACGUUGAAGAAAACAUAAAAUCAUCUUCAAUGGGCAAUAUCUUCGGUCAUUCAGAGACUGACAAAGAAAAAUUUGUUCGCCAUUGCAAGGAGAUGUCUUUUAAUGAUUGUCUUCAAUAUCGACUAGGUUAUCCAGGAAAAGAAGAUGAUAUCAAGCUCAACGACAACUAUCUUUUUUAUUGUAAUCAAAUUCCCAUGAGGCCAGAUGGUACGUAGUUUGUA